UAGGGAAUCUUCGGCAAUGGGGGCAACCCUGACCGAGCAACGCCGCGUGAGUGAAGAAGGUUUUCGGAUCGUAAAGCUCUGUUGUAAGAGAAGAACGUGUGUGAGAGUGGAAAGUUCACACAGUGACGGUAACUUACCAGAAAGGGACGGCUAACUACGUGCCAGCAGCCGCUGUAAUACGUAGGUCCCGAGCGUUGUCCGGAUUUAUUGGGCGUAAAGCGAGCGCAGGCGGUUUAAUAAGUCUGAAGUUAAAGGCAGUGGCUUAACCAUUGUUCGCUGUGGAAACUGUUAAACUUGAGUGCAGAAGGGGAGAGUGGAAUUCCAUGUGUAGCGGUGAAAUGCGUAGAUAUAUGGAGGAACACCGGUGGCGAAAGCGGCUCUCUGGUCUGUAACUGACGCUGAGGCUCGAAAGCGUGGGGAGCAAACAGG
rnacentral:rRNA from 1 species